AUCGCUUCUCGGCCUUUUGGCUAAGAUCAAGUGUAGUAUCUGUUGCAUCUUGUAUCUUAGUCGCCGGGAGUAAAGUUGAAAGUUCC